rnacentral:rRNA from 1 species
UCGAUUCCCUUAGUAGCGGCGAGCGAAACGGGAAGAGCCCAAACCAACAAGCUUGCUUGUUGGGGUUGUAGGACACUCUAUACGGAGUUACAAAGGACGACAUUAGACGAAUCAUCUGGAAAGAUGAAUCAAAGAAGGUAAUAAUCCUGUAGUCGAAAAUGUUGUCUCUCUUGAGUGGAUCCUGAGUACGACGGAGCACGUGAAAUUCCGUCGGAAUCUGGGAGGACCAUCUCCUAAGGCUAAAUACUCUCUAGUGACCGAUAGUGAACCAGUACCGUGAGGGAAAGGUGAAAAGCACCCCGGAAGGGGAGUGAAAUAGAACCUGAAACCGUGUGCUUACAAGUAGUCAGAGCCCGUUAAUGGGUGAUGGCGUGCCUUUUGUAGAAUGAACCGGCGAGUUACGAUUUGAUGCAAGGUUAAGCAGUAAAUGUGGAGCCGUAGCGAAAGCGAGUCUGAAUAGGGCGUUUAGUAUUUGGUCGUAGACCCGAAACCAGGUGAUCUACCCUUGGUCAGGUUGAAGUUCAGGUAACACUGAAUGGAGGACCGAACCGACUUACGUUGAAAAGUGAGCGGAUGAACUGAGGGUAGCGGAGAAAUUCCAAUCGAACCUGGAGAUAGCUGGUUCUCUCCGAAAUAGCUUUAGGGCUAGCCUCAAGUGAUGAUUAUUGGAGGUAGAGCACUGUUUGGACGAGGGGCCCCUCUCGGGUUACC